AACAAUCUAGGUUAAGUUGAGACUAUCUGUCUUCAAAACAGGGGGUGAUAAGAUUUGUCGUUUGUUG
rnacentral:tRNA from 1 species